rnacentral:lncRNA from 1 species
GAAUCAUACCUAGUUGUUUCAAGAACUUUUUUUUCCCUCUUUUCUCUCUUUUUUCUUUCUUUUCUAUGUUCUUUUCUUUUCUAUGUUCUUUUCUUUUCUUUUCUUUUCUGUCCUUUUCUCUUUUCUCUUCUUUUCUUUUCUCUUCUUUUCUUUUCUUUUCUCUUUUUUUUCUUCCCUUUUCUUCCCUUUUCUUCCCUUUUCUUCCCUUUUCUCUUUUCUUCCCUUUUCUCCCCUUUUCUUCCCUUUUCUCUUUUCCUUUCUUCUCUUUUCCUUUCUUUCUCUUUUCUUUUCCUUUCUUUCUCUUUUCUAUUUUCUUUUCUUUUCUUUUCUUUUCUUUCCUUUUCUUUUCUUUUCUUUUCUUUUCUUUUCUUUUCUUUUCUUUUCUUUUCUUUUCUUUUCUUUUCUUUUCUUUUCUUUUCUUUUCUUUNCUUUUCUUUUCUUUUCUUUUCUUUUCUUUUCUUUUCUUUUCUUUUCUUUUCUUUUCUUUUCUUUUCUUUUCUUUUCUUUUCUUUUCUUUUCUUUUCCUUCUUUUCUUUUCUUCCAUUUUCUUCCAUUUUCUUCUCUUUUCCUUUUCCUUUUCUUUUUUCUCUUCUUUUCUCUUCUUUCUUUUUCUCUUCUUUUCUUUUUCUUUUCUUUUCUUUUCUUUUCUUUUCUUUUCUUUUCUUUUCUUUUCUUUUCUUUUCUUUUCUUUUCUUUUCUUUUCUUUUUUCUUUUUUUCUUUUUUCUUUUCUCUAUUUUUCCUUUCUUUUCCUUUUUCUUUUUCUUUUUUUCUCUACUCUUCCUUUCUUUUCUCUACUUUUAUUUUUUUUCUCUACUUUUUUUUUUUUCUCUAUCUCCUAAAAUAAAUAUUUGAUUCUCUUUGGUCCUGCUUAGAUUUCAUUUACCUGCACAUUACACAUCCCAUGCCCAGCUGUAAUUUGAUCAGUGUAACUGCAGUCUAUAGACAAAUCCCUCAGCUAGUCUAAAUUAAAGUAGUGAUACUGACUACAAUGCAACUGUGCUCAUUUACUUCAUCUGAAUGUCUACCUCAACAUUCCAAGUCAGCAAGCUUACACUGAUUUACGUUGGCUGAGGCAUUUUGAUCCCUA